UUUUUUUUUUUUUUUUUUUUUUGGGGAAAAAAAAAAAAAAAAGAAAAAUGAUCUUAACGUUCG
rnacentral:ribozyme from 12 species